rnacentral:rRNA from 1 species
CCUACGGGUGGCAGCAGUGAGGAAUAUUGGUCAAUGGACGCAAGUCUGAACCAGCCAAGUAGCGUGCAGGAUGACGGCCCUAUGGGUUGUAAACUGCUUUUAUGUGGGAAUAAAGUGGCGCACGUGUGCGCCAUUGCAUGUACCUCAUGAAUAAGGACCGGCUAAUUCCGUGCCAGCAGCCGCGGUAAUACGGAAGGUCCGGGCGUUAUCCGGAUUUAUUGGGUUUAAAGGGAGUGUAGGCGGUCUGUUAAGCGUGUUGUGAAAUUUAGGUGCUCAACAUUUAACUUGCAGCGCGAACUGUCAGACUUGAGUACACGCAGCGCAGGCGGAAUUCAUGGUGUAGCGGUGAAAUGCUUAGAUAUCAUGAGGAACUCCGAUCGCGAAGGCAGCCUGCGGGAGUGUUACUGACGCUUAAGCUCGAAGGUGCGGGUAUCGAACAGGAUUAGAUACCCGUGUAGUC